CGGCAACAGCUCAAAUUUGAAAUCUGGCCUCUUCGGGGUCCGAGUUGUAAUUUGGAGAGGAUGUUUCGGGCACGGUCCGGGCUUAUAUUUCUUGGAACAGAAUGUCAUAGAGGGUGAGAAUCCCGUCUGGAGCUCGGACACGACCUAUGUGAAACUCCUUCGACGAGUCGAGUUGUUUGGGAAUGCAGCUCUAAAUGGGUGGUAAAUUUCAUCUAAAGCUAAAUAUUGGCCAGAGACCGAUAGCGCACAAGUAGAGUGAUCGAAAGAUGAAAAGCACUUUGAAAAGAGAGUUAAAAAGUACGUGAAAUUGUUGAAAGGGAAGCGCUGGCGACCAGACUUGCGCGUCGGGGUUCCCCCUUGCUUCUGCUUGGGUUACUCCCCGGCGUUCAGGCCAACAUCGGUUUCGGGGGUUGGUUAAAGGCCUUGGGAAUGUACCUACCCUCCGGGGUAGACUUAUAGCCCAGGGUGUCAUGCGACCUCCCGGGACCGAGGAACGCGCUUCGGCUCGGAUGUUGGCGUAAUGGUUGUCAGCGACCCGUCUUGAAACACGGACCAAGGAGUCUAACAUCUAUGCGAGUGUUAGGGUGUCAAACCCUUACGCGGAAUGAAAGUGAACGGAGGUAGGAAGCCUUAAGGCUGCACUAUCGACCGAUCCUGAAGUUUACGGACGGAUUUGAGUAAGAGCAUAGCUGUUGGGACCCGAAAGAUGGUGAACUAUGCCUGAAUAGGGUGAAGCCAGAGGAAACUCUGGUGGAGGCUCGCA
rnacentral:rRNA from 1 species